UACGUAGGGUGCAAGCGUUGUCCGGAUUUAUUGGGCGUAAAGAGCUCGUAGGCGGUUCGGUAAGUUGGGUGUGAAACCUCCAGGCUCAACCUGGAGACGCCACCCGAUACUGCUGUGACUAGAGUCCGGUAGGGGAGCGUGGAAUUCCUGGUGUAGCGGUGAAAUGCGCAGAUAUCAGGAGGAACACCAGCGGCGAAGGCGGCGCUCUGGGCCGGAACUGACGCUGAGGAGCGAAAGCGUGGGUAGCAACCAGG
rnacentral:rRNA from 1 species